AUCCAAUUCAAGCUCAUCUCGCUACGGAUGAAACGCGUGAAGUUUGUUCUUCCUCGACGAUUCCUCUUCGUCAUCACCGAUCAAAUUUCCGCAUUUCACCGUUACCGUAAUCCACUCUUGCUCUAUAAUUCUGAUUUAAUGGUUUCGUUCCACCUUCCCCUCUAUCUCCUUCUAUAUAAAGCCAACCCUAAUUGAAACUAUGAAGAAACAGCUACAUCUACCGGCAUGUCUCCCCUCUCCACCGGCAGGUUUUGCUUUUGGAAUCUAUGUUUGGAGGCGUCUUUUCUGUGCCUGUGAAUAAUCUUCACUUGCGCAAAUCUGGAAGUAGACUCAUCAUCGCUAAUCUUGGAGAGAAUGACUUGAAGAACUCAAGUAUGCAACUAGGUACUAUUGCCAAAUUGCGAAGCCCUUUUAGUCCUUAGCAGCCUCAAGGUUGCUCUGUAUGUUGGUGGUCUUUAUAUUUGUGGAAAGAUUGGAUGGGAAUCUGUAAUGAAAAUGGGACAAGACACACGAGAACUGUUCUUCUAUGAAACAUUUCUAUAUUACAACCCUCUCCUUCUCAUUACAAUGAUGGUUUGGCUCUGGGGUGUUAAUCUGUGGGUGUUUUCUCGAACUGGAGUCGAUUACGCAGCAAUAUUUUAUCUAGGACCAGAUCAUCUUAGUCACAAAGUGAUAUGGAAGUGUGCUAGGUGGAUGACGACGAUAAUAUUAACUAGCAUGACUGCGUAUCUGUAUCUAUACUCGCAUGGAGAUGUGUCCUUGGCUGCUUCUCAACCAGUGUAAUAGAUAUUGUUUUGUAUCUCUCUGCUGUGAUCAUUCUCAUCAUCCCUUUCGAUAUCUUCUACAAGGCGUUAGGCUCAACCCGACCGCCCGACUAGCGCCUAGCGCGUUCCCGAACAGAGGUUCUGACUACAUAACAAACCUAGAAUUAUCUUUCGUAGUUGUCCAGAAUUUGAUUGCUAUAGUAUUACUUAUAUGUUUAAUUUUGUCACUCUUUCUUUACUAGGAUCUUCGAGAUCACAUGAGCUCCAAUGUUACAAGUGGAAGCUUAGAAACGUUUCCAUGAGCUGAGCCGAGAUUCAAUGGUCCUUGCAAUUAAAGAUUGGAAAACAGGGCAGUACCUACAGAUUAUGUUUGAAAAACCACAAAAGUUACAAGAGACCAGGAGCUAUUCCAUCACCCAAGCAAUGAAAUGGCACAUCUGCCACAUCCGAAUAUGGUUUCAAGACGCAAACUCUGAUCCAAACUGAAUCUGCUUUGGUAUCAAUGAACUAAAAGUUCAUUCAAUUUUUUUUUUUUCAAUUCUUGUAUAUAUGUGCGUGUAUAUAUUGGGUACAAAAAUCCAUAUAAGAGAACACAACGAAAAACCUAUGUUUUUUUAUCUGUGUAUACUCGGAAGGAAUAUAGAGCUCAAAAGUUAAGAAUGUGUGGAAGUUUCAAUUAGACA